rnacentral:rRNA from 1 species
GGGAAAAGGGAAUGAUCCUGGCUCAGAUUGAACGCUGGGGGAAAAAAUAGGAGAUGCAAGUCGAACGGUAACAGGCCUUCGGGCGCUGACGAGUGGCGGACGGGUGAGUAAUGCGUGGUUAAUCUGCCUUAUGGCUGGGGACAACCAGUGGAAACGCUGGCUAAUACCGAAUACCGUCUACGGACGAAAGCGGGGGAUCUUCGGACCUCGCACCAUAAGAUGAGCCCACGUCUGAUUAGCUAGUUGGUGAGGUAAUUGCUCACCAAGGCGACGAUCAGUAGCCGGCCUGAGAGGGUGGACGGCCACACUGGGACUGAGACACGGCCCAGACUCCUACGGGAGGCAGCAGUGGGGAAUAUUGGACAAUGGGCGCAAGCCUGAUCCAGCAAUGCCGCGUGUGUGAAGAAGGCCUUCGGGUUGUAAAGCACUUUUGUUAGGGAGGAAAGUCUGGUAGCUAAUAACUGCUUGAUCUGACGUUACCUAAAGAAUCAGCACCGGCUAACUCUGUGCCAGCAGCCGCGGUAAUACAGAGGGUGCAAGCGUUAAUCGGAAUUACUGGGCGUAAAGGGUCUGAGGCGGAUUAUUAAGUCGGAUGUGAAAUCCCCCGGGGCUCAACCUGGGAACGGCAUUCGAUUACUGGUAGUCUAGAAUGUGCAAGAGGGAUGGGGGGGAAUUUCCUUGGUGUAGCAAUGAAAUGCGUAACAGUGACAGGAGGAACAUCCAUGGGCGAAAGGCACCUUUUCUGGGGGGCAACACUGAACGCUGAAUAUUAUGAAAAG